rnacentral:rRNA from 1 species
UACGUAGGGCGCGAGCGUUGUCCGGAAUUAUUGGGCGUAAAGAGCUCGUAGGCGGCCUGUCGCGUCCGCUGUGAAAACCCGGGGCUUAACCCGGGCCUGCCAGUGGAUACGGGCAGGCUGGAGGCAGGCAGGGGAGAACGGAAUUCCCGGUGGUAGCGGUGAAAUGCGCAGAGUAUCGGGAGGAACACCGGUGGCGAAGGCGGUUCUCUGGGC